GAUUCCGUAGCUCAGCUGGGAGAGCGCUUGCUUGACAGGCAAGAGGUCGUUGGUUCGAGCCCAAUCGGAGUCAC
rnacentral:tRNA from 1 species